GACGAACGCUGGCGGCGUGCCUAAUACAUGCAAGUCGAACGCACAGUUUAUACUGUAGCUUGCUACACCAUACACUGGGAGUUGCGAACGGUUGAGUUACGCGUGGGUGACCUGCCUGGUAGCGGGGGAUAACUAUUAAUAACGCUAGCUACUAGCGCAUAAUAUUAAUUAUUCCUUGGUAAUUAAUUGAAAGGUUCAGUCUCACCCCUACCAGCUGGACCUUCGUUGUAUUAGCUAGUAGGUGAGGUAACGGCUCACCUACGCGGAGAUACAUAACCGAGCUGGGAGGGUGAUCGGCCAAACUGGGACUGAGACAAGGCUCCGAAUCCCUAGGGAGGGAGCAGGAGGGAAACAUUGGCAAUUGAGGGAAGGCUGACCGAGGACCGCCGCGGGAGUGAAGAAGGGUUUCGGAUCGUAAAGGUCUGUUGUAAGGGGAGAACGGGUGUGAGAGUGGAAAGUUCACGUUGUGACGGUACCUAAAGAGAAAGCGACGGCUAACUACGUG
rnacentral:rRNA from 1 species